UCCGCGAAGAUCCGCACUGACGGAUGCAAAUUUACAUCCCUAAACGUUACUAUACUUUGUGAGCAAGUUAUUUGCCAUUUUGGAGUUGUUUAGUGGACCUCAUUCCUCACAAAACCACGUGACUAUACCUGAAAUGUUAACUCUCGAACUUUGGUUCAUUUUUCCUCUCUUCUUCAUUUUUGUCUUCAUUCUCACUCUUCACUUUCAUCUUCCAUUUCUCUCUUUAUACUGUAGCACCUCAAGAUAACAUCAACCAUAGACCCAUUGUAAGCAUCUCAACAAUUUCUCUUUAUUUUUUCAUGCAUUUUACCCAUUUAAUUUCUAUUAUUCUUCGUGUUUAUCGUUUCAUUUUGCUUCUCAAACUGUAAUGUAUUACUUCAGGAUUGUGUUUGACCUACAAAUUUUUCAUACGAGCUACUAAAUUUGUAUUUAUAAGUUGAAUCUUGAGUUAGGAAUAGAGUUAGGAUUUAGUUUAUGUCAAGCUAUGUGUAGUAUGUUGUUGAGGUGUCAUAGGUGAAUAAGAGGUGCUGUUGUGUUAUAUUGUGGAGUGUUUUUUGAUGUUCGUAUCGAGUAUGUUUGGGUAUGGGCAUCAUGGAUUGAUUUGUCAGGUAUAUUGAAUGGGGUAUUGAGCCAAUGGCCUUUCUGGUGUUUUGUAUGUGAAGCAAUUUGACUUCUUGACUUGUUACCAAUUUGUGUUUUCCCCUCUUUUGAACCCUAUUUGUUACCAAUUUGGGGGUUUUCCCACUUGUUACCAAUCUCUAUUUUCAGAACAGUGUCCAAUUUGUCUUUGGUUAUCAUUUGUCUUUGGUUAUGUGAAAUUGUGGAUUUUUUAGAGAAAUCUAGAAAUAACUUAGAAAUAUGACUUUUGGUAUUAUAUUCUCUUGCUAAUGAUAGUGGCUUUAGUUUUGAAUCCUGUUAUAUAUAAUGUUUCAUGGUUUUUAGUUACAGAUUUAGGUAAGUAGGGUAUGGAAGUAAUGUGUGUAUUCUAUGUCACAAUCAUAUUGUUUUGAUACUUGGUGUUAGUGUAUGACUUUUGUACUACUAUUUGUGAGGCUAACUU
rnacentral:lncRNA from 1 species